CCUACGGGCUGCUGCAGUGGGGAAUAUUGGACAAUGGGGGGAACCCUGAUCCAGCGACGCCGCGUGAGUGAAGAAGUAUUUCGGUAUGUAAAGCUCUAUCAGCAGGGAAGAAAGAAAUGACGGUACCUGACUAAGAAGCCCCGGCUACCUACGUGCCAGCAGCCGCGGUAAUACGUAGGGGGCAAGCGUUAUCCGGAUUUACUGGGUGUAAAGGGAGCGUAGACGGCGAUGCAAGUCUGAAGUGAAAGGCGGGGGCCCAACCCCCGGACUGCUUUGGAAACUGUAUGGCUGGAGUGCAGGGGAGGUGAGUGGAAUUCCUAGUGUAGCGGUGAAAUGCGUAGAUAUUAGGAGGAACACCAGAGGCGAAGGCGACUCACUGGACUGUAACUGACGCUGAGGCUCGAAAGCGUGGGGAGCAAACAGGAUUAGAUACCCCUGUAGUC
rnacentral:rRNA from 1 species